CCUACGGGAGGCAGCAGUGGGGAAUCUUGCGCAAUGGGCGAAAGCCUGACGCAGCCAUGCCGCGUGUAUGAUGAAGGUCUUAGGAUUGUAAAAUACUUUCACCGGUGAAGAUAAUGACUGUAGCCGGAGAAGAAGCCCCGGCUAACUUCGUGCCAGCAGCCGCGGUAGUACGAAGGGGGCUAGCGUUGCUCGGAAUUACUGGGCGUAAAGGGAGCGUAGGCGGACAUUUAAGUCAGAGGUGAAAUCCCGGAGCUUAACUUCGGAACUGCCUUUGAUACUGGGUGUCUUGAGUGUGAGAGAGGUAUGUGGAACUCCGAGUGUGGAGGUGAAAUUCGUAGAUAUUCGGAAGAACACCAGUGGCGAAGGCGACAUACUGGCUCAUUACUGACGCUGAGGCUCGAAAGCGUGGGGAGCAAACAGGAUUAGAUACCCUGGUAGUCCACGCCGUAAACGAUGAUUGCUAGUUGUCGGGAAGCUUGCUUCUCGGUGACGCAGCUAACGCAUUAAGCAAUCCGCCUGGGGAGUACGGUCGCAAGAUUAAAACUCAAAGGAAUUGACGG
rnacentral:rRNA from 1 species